ACCAACUGUGGGCCGACUGGGAGGGCGAAACUGCCGCCCCAGCAGCCAGAAAACCCCAGGAUCACUCCUACGGAGCCAGGAUUUGCUCCAGGUAGCCCUUUUCCCAACCUCGUACCUUUCGCCUGGAGCUGGCGGUGAUAGUCAGCCAAGUUCAUGAUCAUCUUGAUUGUGUCCUCCUGCCAAACCUCAAGGCGAACUACCUUCGGAUUCUUCAGAAAAUCAGGGUGGAACCCGAACUGCUUGGGGAGCUGACCGAGCACCUCGAAUGACAUUGCUUUUGGCUGCAUCAGUUGCACGAGCGUCGGAAACCGUCUGGGAGUGUCCAUGCUGCUGCCGGCCCUGCAGGAGACCAGAGCACAACCGCAAACCCAAAGGAAGAGCUGGAGGCGUCGCCUCCGUCUCCUAGAGCCCCGCCUUCUUCCGAGGCCGCACAAGUGCGCUGGUUUCUGGGCUGCUCUCAGGGGGUUCCUUCUGUCAGGAGCAGCCCGUCUCCAGCGCACCCGGUAGGAGAAACCGGGCUCUGGGCUCCAGGACUCCAGUGGAAAGCUGCGGGAGUCUUAAUGAUGGACUCAGGAAGGCGUGGUUAAGCCCAGUAUUUUUCUCAAGAGGAAGGAACUGAUACUUGUAGAAUGAAUACUUCUUAGGUCCCCCACAGCUUCUGAUCCCUGGCCACUAUGUUUACUUCCUCUGGCACCAGGUUUUCAGAUUAUUCUGUUUCCUGCCUGAGAUAGCUGAGUACAGGGCAGA